rnacentral:tRNA from 2 species
GCGCGCUUAGCUCAAUUGGUAGAGCGCCUCAUUGACGUUGAGGAUGUUGUAGGUUCAAGUCCUGCAGCGCGCA